UACAGAGGUCCCAAGCGUUGUUCGGAUUCAUUGGGCGUAAAGGGUGCGUAGGCGGCGCGGUAAGUCGGGUGUGAAAUCUCGGAGCUUAACUCCGAAACUGCAUUCGAUACUGCCGUGCUUGAGGACUGGAGAGGAGACUGGAAUUUACGGUGUAGCGGUGAAAUGCGUAGAUAUCGUAAGGAACACCAGUGGCGAAGGCGGCACACUGGUCCGGUACUGACGCUGAGGUGCGAAAGCGUGGGGAGCAAACAGG
rnacentral:rRNA from 1 species